CAUCACUCUUCUUUAUUAAAACAAACAAACAAAAACCCUAUACAUAGAUUCUUCCUUAAGAUCAUCCUGCAAUUUCUAUUGUUUGUUUUUUUGGUUAUUUUUUUGGUGAGGAAGAUUAGCCCUGAGCUGAAGUCUGUGUCAAUCCUCCUCUACUUUGCAUGUGGGAUGCCUUUACAGCACGACGACGAGUGGAGAAGGCCUGCACCGGAAUCCGAACCCGCAAACCUGGGCUGCCCAAGUGGAGCGUGUGCAACCCUAGCCACUGGGCCACAGGACCGGCCCCUUGUUUGUUUUUUAAUCCCAUUGUUGUGUGCUUGGGAUCACACUGCAUUCUAGAUUUCUAUGACAGGAAGGGAGAUCAACAGUUCCACAAAAGUCAGCCCCAACUUCGCUGGUCAAGUCCUCCGUGUCCUUGGGCUGACAUCCUGGCCGCUUCUGUGGGGCUGGGUGAAGAAGCCUCUCACACGUUUCAUGGCUUUUUGGAUUGACACCUUCCCUCUAUUUGCUGGCCUCGUUGCCAUGGAGAAAGUUUGGUUUGCUCGUUUCUUUUUCUGUCUGCUACUCUCCUGAAGAUCCUGGCUUAGAAGAAAGGGGUGGUGGUACUCGCUGAAGUCCUAGGAAUCCAGAAUUACGUCCAUUACUACAGCUUGUUGCCUAUGAUGAUUGAAAGAAAUACCAAACUUCUCUUCAAGAAUAGGAAAAUAAAGAUGCAACAGUCUUCCAUCCAAGUUCACAAACCCCAGGCCUUCAAUAUGUUUCAAUGACCAGACAUGCUAACCAGCUGAGCUGGACCAACUUACACACCCAGCCACCACCACCGCCACAGCGGCCUCCUCGCUCCCCAGGCAGAGCAGUUCCAGCAAUAGAUCAUACCUGACCCACUGCACCUGCUGCUUGGCCACCUCCGCUGACCAGGCGUUCCCACGCCCAGCUCCGACUGACCAGGAGGGGUCACCAUGUCUGAAUGCUUGCCAGAGGGACCCCCGGAAGCUCUGGUGCCCCAGGGAGGCUGG
rnacentral:lncRNA from 1 species